ensembl:lncRNA
GCAGGGUGUUGAGCAACCUCCCUGGCCUCCACCUUCUAGAUGCAAAUAGCACCCCCACCCCCCCAAGUUGUCACAACCAAAUAUGUCUCCAGACAUUGCCUAAUGUCUCCUGGGGGGCAAAACCGCCUUCGUUGAUAAUCCCUGACUUAGGGAAACUAAUAAAAAUAUUUGGCCUCGAGAAAAGCAAAAUAUAGAGAUGUAAACAGCAAGGUCCCAUUUCUGCGGAGCAAACAAUAAUGCAUGUGGGAGGGUCAGGGUAUCCACACGUGGCCAGAGAACAGGGCCGGGGGUGACCCACCAGCCUGUCCACAUCGGUUCUCAGGGGAGAGAGGGGAGGCAAGGAAUAUUCCAAAGGUUGUUUUUAAAAAGUGUCCAUGAGUAAACAUCAUGCAUAAUAUUUCACUUAUGUGACAUUAAACACAUGCAUGGAUGUAGACAGAUGUAUAAAAAGCUGUCGAUGGAAAAGUUAGUGGAGUGUCUCCGGUGGUGGAAACUUAGGUGACAGGAUGGGUGUCAUAUCUGCGCCUUGUACGGAGAAAGCAGUUUUCAACCCUAAAAUGGACAGCUCCCGGGGCAGAAAUGCGGAUGUUUUUCUAUACUCUCUGUGUAGCACUGUUACAGCCUGCCCUGGCUGCACUCCUGAAGGCACUCACUUUCAAAUGAUCCCGCUCCAUCAUCUACAGUGCUCUUGGCUCACAUCUCCCGUUGGGGUUUCUUUCGCUGCGUGCGCGGCUGUGUUUUACGCCCUCCCAUAGGGCAUCUUUAAGGAGGCGGGGCUUGGCCUUUCUCCUUCAUUCUUGGCCUACACACCUGUCACUCCUUUUGCCUCCCCUCCCACGCAGGCACCCCUCGGGGCAAAGGCAGCCUUGAGCCAGGGCUCCCACCUUGCAAGCCUGCCUGGAUCUGAAGCCCUGCUCCCUGCUCGGCAGAACACCAGCCUUCACAGACCGGGCAGCAGUCUCAACACCAACCCUUGCAGCUCCCAUCCCGUCUAGAGUCACUCCAGAAAGAAAGGAGGGAGGGGGGUGGCUGUCCUGGGGGUGAACUGGAAGCUCAUGAAGUCAUCGGCUUGAGGAGACUGCCACAUCUAAAAUAUCUGGGGGCAGACACGUGGACUGGAAGCACAUAGAGCCUUCCUCUGGGGGUGGCUCUGGGACAGCAGCAAUGUCACCCUUGUGCCCGGAAGCCUCUGAGACCUUGUCCCACAUGGACUCUGGAAUGGCACUGCUUCUCCUCCUUGUGGCCUGCUUCUCCUCCUUGUGGCCGUGUUUCACCUCCCGUUGACCCAGAAGGGUCUCCCAUCCUGCCAGGGCGGGUUCAAGCAGGGCCCCGUGCCCUCCUACCAGGAGGGAGGGUUCAGGGAGCAGCUCCCACAGCAGUCCGCACCCCAGGAUUCCCCAGAGUCCACACACCUGAGCUCUACCUUCCUCUUCUCCUCCACGCUCGCCCACCUGUCUGCCUCCUACAACUCCCGGAACCGGCUCUCCUGGGUCCUGGGUUAGACUUGGUUCCCGUGAAAAACAAAGGACCGAGAGAGAUGGGCAAAACCAGCUCCCCAGACUCAGAUAAACCAGGUACGUGACUUGUGCACGAUUGCUGAACCUCUCCCAUCUCCACUUCCUUCUUUGGAAAACAGGAUCCUACUAGCAGUCCUGUCUAGAGGAGUUCAUAGGAAGGCGUCCAGCACACGGCAA